CGUUCCCGGGCCUUGUACACACCGCCCGUCAAGCCAUGGAAGCCGGGGGUACCCAAAGCCAGUAUCUCAACCGCAAGGAGAGAGCUGUUUAAGGUAAAAACCGGUGACUGGGGCU
rnacentral:rRNA from 1 species